GUGCUUUCUUUGGCAGCAUGUAUACUAAAAUUGGAAUGAUACAGAGGAGAUUAACAUGGACUCUGCAAGGAACGCAUGCAAAUUCAUGAAAAACGAAUUCAU